UUAUUUUGAGAUGCUAACCACCCAUAAGAGACACCACAACUUUGCACAUUAACAUGUUUCUCACAGUUUCUGUGUGUGUCGGAAGUUCUGACGUGGGGUCGGAAGCUUUCGACAAGGGGUACUUAGCAAACUUUAUUUUCAUAGCAUCGGAAGUUCUGACCAUGUGUCGGAAGUUGCGACAGGCACUUUAACACCACAUUAACGACUAGGUUCUGGGGGUUGGGUAUUUAUACCCCCUCACCUCUCUCUUCCUUUGUUGCUAACCUAACCUGAAAUAAACACCUCCUUGAGCAUUCAAUAUUCCCUCCUACUCCCUUCUUGAGCUAAUCCUUAAGAGAUUUGAGCUAGGGUUUGGGUGAGAGGAAGGUUUGAGGUGUGUGAUUCUAGCUUUGAGUGUGAGGUCAAUCUUGUUCAUCUCAAGAGCACUUGAAGCAUCUUCGGUCUUCGAUUCACGUUUUUUACCCUUGAAGCUUGCUUCUAGACAGUUUGGCACUGCCUGUUUGAGCUCCCUCUCGUUAUGGUGCACCCGGAAAAUUUGUAUUGCCCAUCCUCUUGGAGGAUUCAUAAUGACUGACCUAAUCUUCCUUUGUGGUUUAUUGGGAGACGUAAAGGGUUAGUGAGGAUCCGACUCUUUGUGAGCUUCUCAACGGAGAUAUAGUUUUCUUUGUGGGAGUGAACUUCGGUAAAUAAAAUCAUCUGUCUCGUAUGUUUAUUGUGUUUUUCAAGUUCUUGUUAACUUAGAACUUGUUUGGUCCCUAUAUAUCCAUGAGUUUGUGAGUUUUCUCUUGUAGGGAUCACCUGUAGAAGUAUAUCUACAUCUUUGAUGAACUUUUGAUUCAAAUAGAUUCUGCUAAAAAAAAGUUUGCAUUUGAAAUUCGUAUAGUGCUUUAUCAGCUGUUGGAAGUUCCAACACCGUUGGAAGUUCCGGCAUAUUUGACACCGUUGCGAAGUCAGACGGUGUAGGUUUGCU
rnacentral:lncRNA from 1 species